AGGGAAUAUUGGUCAAUGGACGCAAGUCUGAACCAGCCAUGCCGCGUGCAGGAUGAAGGCCCUAUGGGUCGUAAACUGCUUUUAUGUAGGAAGAAACCCCCACCUGCGGGUUGGGCUGACGGUACUACAAGAAUAAGGAUCGGCUAACUCCGUGCCAGCAGCCGCGGUAAUACGGAGGAUCCAAGCGUUGUCCGGAUUUAUUGGGUUUAAAGGGUGCGUAGGCGGAUUAAUAAGUCAGUGGUGAAAGCUUGCAGCUCAACUGUGAAAGUGCCAUUGAAACUGUUAGUCUUGAGUAUGGUUGAGGUAGAUGGAACGUAUCAUGUAGCGGUGAAAUGCUUAGAUAUGAUACAGAACACCAAUUGCGAAGGCAGUUUACUAAGCCAUUACUGACGCUGAGGCACGAAAGCGUGGGUAGCGAAC
rnacentral:rRNA from 1 species